CACGUAGGGCGCAAGCGUUGUCCGGAAUUAUUGGGCGUAAAGAGCUCGUAGGCGGUCUGUCGCGUCUGCCGUGAAAACCCGAGGCUUAACCUCGGGCUGGCGGUGGAUACGGGCAGACUAGAGGUAGGUAGGGGAGAAUGGAAUUCCCGGUGUAGCGGUGAAAUGCGCAGAUAUCGGGAGGAACACCGGUGGCGAAGGCGGUUCUCUGGGCCUUACCUGACGCUGAGGAGCGAAAGCGUGGGGAGCGAACAGG
rnacentral:rRNA from 1 species